UACAGAGGAGGCAAGCGUUGUUCGGAAUUACUGGGCGUAAAGGGCGCGUAGGCGGCCUGUUAAGUCGAACGUGAAAUCCCCAGGCUUAACCUGGGAACUGCGUCUGAUACUGGAAGGCUUGAGUUCGGGAGAGGAAUGUGGAAUUCCAGGUGUAGCGGUGAAAUGCGUAGAUAUCUGGAGGAACACCGGUGGCGAAGGCGGCAUUCUGGACCGAAACUGACGCUGAGGCGCGAAAGCCGGGGGAGCAAACGGG
rnacentral:rRNA from 1 species